ensembl:snRNA U4 U4 spliceosomal RNA
AGCUUUGUGCAGUGGCAGUAUCGUAGCCAAUGAGGUUAUCCGAGGUGCGAUUAUUGCUAAUUGAAAACUUUUCCCAAAAGAC